rnacentral:rRNA from 1 species
AGCGCAACCCUUAUUGCUAGUUACCAUCAUUAAGUUGGGGACGUCUAGCGAGACUGCCAGUGAUAAACUGGAGGAAGGUGGGGAUGACGUCAAAUCAUCAUGCCCCUUAUGACCUGGGCUACAAACGUGAUACAAUGGCUGAAACAAAGGGCAGCGAAGCAGUGAUGUGGAGCGAAACCCAAAAAAGCAGUCUCAGUUCGGAUUGAAGUCUGCAACUCGACUUCAUGAAGUUGGAAUCGCUAGUAAUCGUAGAUCAGAACGCUACGGUGAAUACGUUCUCGGGGUUU